rnacentral:rRNA from 1 species
UACGUAGGGUGCGAGCGUUAAUCGGAAUUACUGGGCGUAAAGCGUGUGCAGGCGGCUUUGCAGGACAGAUGUGAAAUCUCCGGGCUUAACCUGGGAACUGCAUUUGUGACUGCAUGGCUGGAGUGCGGAAGAGGGGGAUGGAAUUCCGCGUGUAGCAGUGAAAUGCGUAGAUAUGCGGAGGAACACCGAUGGCGAAGGCGAUCCCCUGGGCCUGCACUGACGCUCAUGCGCGAAAGCGUGGGGAGCAAACAGG